GAGGGAACGCGACCCUGGAUGAACAUAACGUCGGCAGUGAGGAAAAUCAUCCUCAACCCAAGAUUGUUGGAUCUCGAGAAGGGGACGAAGUGUGUUCAGACAGUUGAACUCGAGAGUGUACAUGCCCUGUACACUAAAUACGUGGCCAAGAGGAACACGUUUGGCCAGCUGAGGAUGAUCGCAAACCCCAAGUGGCUGCCUUGGACCACAAUUAUUCAGUGGACAGACAGCAGGCUACAACAGAAGAGGGAGUGCAGCGUUUCAGGCAAGAGUUCUCAAGGCUGCCAGGGCGUUUGUGGUGAAACCCAUCAAGGAGGAGAAGACAUGGUGUUUCCCUUCUGAGCUCCUACACGGCAUCAUUGACCGCGGUGCCAAUGGACCAUCCCAGCGGACUCUCCUGAGUGCCCAAAGAGAGAGAGUGGCGGUCACUUUGGGGGAGCGGGCUGGUGUUUCCCGAAAUUGGAGAAGGAGCAGGCCRUUCAACAGCAAAUUCAAAGAUACACACAUCCAUAAAGGGAAUCGGAGUGGAAUUGUUUUUCCACCRUUUUUUUUAACCCGUUUCAAUGGACGUGCAACCUUGUCCCAGACCUGCUGUUUCGACUCUCUCCUUUUCUCCCGGACCUGCUGUCUCGAUCUAUGAAUGCGCAGCUAUGAAAAGCCAACUGACAUUUGCUCCUGAGGUGUUGAACUGUGACACCCUCUAUAACCACUGUGGUUAUUAUUUUGAUGUAAAAAGGGCUUUGUAAAAUACAUUUGAUUGAUUGUUUGCAUGGCUGCAUAUUCACUAACUGUCUGAGUGAUGUGACAUUUUUAGAGUAUCUGUAACAUAUUUUGGUGUGUAUUUAAUCUGUAACUUAACUUCUUAAAAUGGCAAUCAGCAGUAGAAACAAUAACAAAGUGUCCUUCCUGCUCSUUUUCCGGUAAAAAGCUGAGGGAUGGAGCUGGAGAAAUGUAACUAGGGCUGGGCGAUAUAUUUCAGUUUGUUUUAGCGCGAUAUGGAAAAAGCCUGUAUCGCAAGA